rnacentral:rRNA from 1 species
AGUGAACGCUGGCGGUAGGCCUAACACAUGCAAGUCGAACGGCAGCACAGUAAGAGCUUGCUCUUACGGGUGGCGAGUGGCGGACGGGUGAGGAAUACAUCGGAAUCUACUUUUUCGUGGGGGAUAACGUAGGGAAACUUACGCUAAUACCGCAUACGACCUACGGGUGAAAGCAGGGGAUCUUCGGACCUUGCGCGAUUGAAUGAGCCGAUGUCGGAUUAGCUAGUUGGCGGGGUAAAGGCCCACCAAGGCGACGAUCCGUAGCUGGUCUGAGAGGAUGGUCAGCCACACUGGGACUGAGACACGGUCCCGACUCCUACGGGGGGGAGGAGUGGGGAAGAUUGGACAAUGGGGGCAAGCCUGAUCCAGGCAUACCGCGUGGGUGAAGAAGGCCUUCGGGUUGGAAAGCCCUUUUGUUGGGAAAGAAAAGCAGCAGGUUAAUACCCCGCUGUUCUGACGGUACCCAAAGAAUAAGCACCGGCUAGCUUCGUG